AACGCAUAUUGCGCCCUUUGGUAUUCCGAAGGGCAUGCCUGUUCGAGCGUCAUUAUCAACCAUCAAGCUUGGCUUGUAAUUGGACCUAUUGGCUGGGGGAUGCCCCGACCGGUCUGAAAGAUAAUGAACGGGGUGCUCAAUAGCCUUGGAUGCAACGAGCUUUUUAAGCACGCAUCGAACGGUUGUUUGGCCCCGUCUUCUCCAUAUAUUUUCUACGGUUGACCUCGGAUCAGGUAGGAAUACCCGCUGAACUUAA
rnacentral:misc_RNA from 1 species